AUCAAUGUGGGCUAGGGCAUACUCUCCCUCUCACUGGCGGAUCAGAGCAGAGCAGAGCAGAGGCGGUUGCCAUCAGGGAAGUUCAUCGCCUUCUCUCCACCAAAUUAUGGUUCUCACAGACUUGAGCUUUGAUCAUUACCGUUUGUCGGUGAUCCAUAAUUCCGGCAAUCUUGUUUCGACAGUGAAUCCCUCCGGCCAUGUUUCAUUAGCUGCCACCUUGUAUUUGGGACAUUUGUUUGCGGGCAACAGUUCUACAUAGCUUCGGCUACCAUUUCUGACAGCAAGAUCUUUAGCUGUGAGUUAGCACGGGAGCAACCAGAUCAAGGUAAGCUAAGUAUGGAGUUUUGGUUGCAUUUAUGUGAUAGAUGGGUGAAUAAGGAUUUAUAUCAUAUUAUGUUGGGGAUAAUGAGAUGUUAUGGAUGAUUGAUUUGAUUAGUGUAUAUUGAUUUUAGAAGAUGACCUGAUUAAAUUGAUUAACUCAUGAGUAGGA